rnacentral:rRNA from 1 species
ACUUCGGGAAACCGGAGCUAAUACCGGAUAAUAUAUUGAAUCGCAUGGUUCAAUAGUGAAAGACGGUUUUGCUGUCACUUAUAGAUGGAUCCGCGCCGCAUUAGCUAGUUGGUAAGGUAACGGCUUACCAAGGCAACGAUGCGUAGCCGACCUGAGAGGGUGAUCGGCCACACUGGAACUGAGACACGGUCCAG